rnacentral:RNase_P_RNA from 1 species
GAGGCAGGGAGGAUGGUCGCUGACCCUUUCGAGGGUUAGAGGAAAGUCCGAGCUGCAUAGAGCGUGGGUGCCCGGUGAAAGCCGGGGCAGUGCUUUCGGGCGCUGACAGUCCAGAUUGGCACGCGGGCAACCGCGUGAGAGCAACAGAGACCAAAGCCGGCGGGCAACCGACCGGCGUGAAAAGGGCAAUCCUCCCCGCAGCAAUCUCCGAUCCGGCCGUUUGCAGGUUGCUCGCCGAGGCCGAAAGACGAGAGCCGCCACGAAGGCGACGACGUGGCCGGUCCCGAGAGGGGCCGAGAGAGAUGACCAUCAGGAACAGAACUCGGCUUACUCCCCUGCCUCUCCC